CCUACGGGAGGCAGCAGUGAGGAAUAUUGGUCAAUGGACGAGAGUCUGAACCAGCCAAGUAGCGUGAAGGAUGACUGCCCUAUGGGUUGUAAACUUCUUUUAUAUGGGAAUAAAACGUUCCACGUGUGGGAUUUUGUAUGUCCCAUAUGAAUAAGGAUCGGCUAACUCCGUGCCAGCAGCCGCGGUAAUACGGAGGAUCCGAGCGUUAUCCGGAUUUAUUGGGGUUAAAGGGAGCGUAGGUGGAUUGUUAAGUCAGUUGUGAAAGUUUGCGGCUCAACCGUAAAAUUGCAGUUGAAACUGGCAGUCUUGAGUACAGUAGAGGUGGGCGGAAUUCGUGGUGUAGCGGUGAAAUGCUGAGAUAUCACGAAGAACUCCGAUUGCGAAGGCAGUUCACUGGACUGCAACUGACACUGAGGCUCGAAAGUGUGGGUAUCAAACAGGAUUAGAUACCCCUGUAGUC
rnacentral:rRNA from 1 species